GCAUGAACAAUUAUUGGAGACAUGGAAAAUGCAUGAAUUUCAGGUUUGUUCCAAUGUUAUUUCAAUAUAAGGAUUGAAUUCUUCAAUUUACACACCAUGCAUGCAUUAUAUAAAUUUGGCCUAUCUUAUGCAGGUGAGGGCUCUUGGAAGAAUAAUCAAUCCUAGACUGCUUGAACCAUGUCUCGAGAAAACCAAUGGACCCCAUGAAAUGAAGUUCAAGAUAAUAUAUGCAUGUUAAUGUUCUGCAACUGCUCUACAAGAGGACAUGCAAUGCAAAAUGGAAAAUUGUUGU
rnacentral:misc_RNA from 1 species